AGCUGUAGCCCCUGGCCUACGCCAGAGCCACAACAACGCAGGAUCCGAGCCGAGUCUGCAACCUACACCACAGCUCAAGGCAAUGCUGGAUCCUUAACCCACUGAGCAAGGCCCGGGAUCAAACCUGCCAACUCGUGGUUCCUAGUUGGAUUCGUUAGCCACUGCGCCACAACAGGAACUCCUCAAAAGCAUAUUUUUAAGGAAAGAGUAGAUCUUUUGGCUCCGGCUUUGUUUCACUAAAGAAAAAAAACUGUAAUUAUUUCAUCAACAGUACAUUGGAAAAUUUUUUGUGGAAUAUUUAAAUAGACAAGAAAAAUUUCAAACAGUAGAAAAUAUAUUUAUCUUAUUAAAAAUAGUAUAUAUUAGGGGAGAUGGUAUUAUAAUUGGACUAAGGGCCUAUAAGGUCCCAUAACUAUUAAAUUUUCUCUAGUUUUGUGUAACAUGAAGACAUCUAUUAUCCAAAGAAAUACCAUGCAAUUGUUAAAAUACACAUUUAUUAUGAUACCCAAAGCAUUAACUGUCAAAGUAAUUGAAAUCAUAGUGGAGGAAAGAAAAAGUUAUGUUUGCAUUUAACAUAGAUUCUUACCUUGUAGGGAAAAGCCUCUUCCAUCCUUCAUCUACUUCGCACACACAAGAUUUAUAUACUAUAUAAAGAUGAACCUUGUUUAGGAAAUUCAUUCCCUAUAGCCUUCGCCUCUCUUGUGCUUUGAUUUCAAGGCCACUCUACUCCUCACGCCUUUAUUUGCAGUUUACUCUUUGCUUUGUUUCCAAUAUGAGGAUUGGCCUCCUGGGUUCCUUUGGCUUUGGGCCCUUCUAAUAGCAGCAGUUCUGGGACUGAUAGCAUAAGCAGGCCUCUUGGGGGUCUUCCCUGGGGAUUUAGCCUUCUCUUCCUUCUCCCUGCUCUACCCCACACAUAUCUGCACUGACCUCCAAGGCAGCUUUAAUUGAGUGCGGUCCAGACCUCUCCCUUUUUUGUUCCAAACUCAGAGGGAUGAACCAGAAAAAUUACACUUCUUUUACUUCCACCACCCUGUUUUGUUUUUCUUGAUCAUAGAUGGAAUUUGGUUCUCUAAAUGAAGACAUAUUUUUAAGGAGAUGUGUAUAUGUGGUUUGUUUGUGUGUGUUUUGAAGGAUCAGUUACAUACUUUGGCCAUUUCAAGGAGAGAGGUCAUUCUUCCAGUAACCAGUUAGUUUCGUCCCAACUUUAAAAAUCUGUUGAGGUCUCUUCAAACAGUUCAAAUGUAAAGUAUUAAUAUAAGGAAAAUUGUAAAACUCUAUUCAAACCAAGGAAUUUGCCUUUUUUAUUUUGCUUUUAUUUUAGGGCCGCACCUCUGUCAUAUGGAAGUCCCUGGGCUAGGGGUUGAACUGGAGCUGCAGCUGCCUUCUUAUGUUACAGACACAGUAGUGCCAAAUCUGAGCUAUGUCAGCUCACCGCAACACCAGAUCCUUAUCCCACUGGGUGAGGCCUACAUCCUUAUGGAUACUAGUCGAGUUUGAAAGCCACUGAGCCACAAUGGGAACUCCCAAACCAAGGGGUAUGCCCAUUUUCAAAGGAAUAAGGCUAUCAUAAUCCUCAGUAUAUCUGGUGAAGUACAUCAAUUUUUUUUUAUACUUAUUAAAUACAUCAGGGAAAUGAUAUUUGUUUUGCAAAGGGACACACCUAUAUGUCAAUGGAAAUAAAAAUCCAGAGUCAGAGCUUGAUCAAAAAGAUACUGUAGCAAAGCUUUCCAAAAUUUUGAAUGUGGUUGUCAACCAAAAUCUAAUAUAAGGAUGGAAAAUAUGGAGCUGUUGUGAUGACGGUAAUGGGGUUGAGGGGGUUGAGUGGGAAGCUCCAUUGCCACCUCUAACAAUUCAGUCACCCCAUGAAUGCUCUUCUGAUCUUUAUUUGAAAACUGUGUGUUCAUCCAAACUUUUCAUUUUAUAGAGAGGGACUCUGAGGCCGAGGAUUUUAAGUGACAUUACCAGAAUCUUCCAGUAAUUUGUGGCAGAGACAUGGAUUAAAUCCUGUGUCUUUGACUCAUGAAUUAGGGCUUCUCCAUCAAGACACAUGGACACUUACAUGUCUAUAUAUGGAUCAUAAUACAACUAUUGCAUAAUUUUUUUGUCGUAUAUGAAUUUUAUGGAGAGAGAGUAUUUUCAAAUAGUACUUUAACUUCCAAACAAUUUACCAACUGUAAAUUUUUAAACCAUUUGAGUAAUCUAAAGCGGCCUAGCUAAUCAGAUAUUUGAUCAAAAAUACUCCAUGAGUUAAAUAUAGUCUCUUUUAUUGAAAUUAGUUCUGAAUUAAAUUAUUCCAUGGAUGGCAAAGAAAAUAUAAAUAGCUCAAAAGCAUUUCUGCAUUUAUCCAAAGCCCAAGUUGGCUGCCGGCUGGCAAUUUUAAGCUGAAAAAGAAUAAAGGCCACCUUAUUUUAAGCUCUUUAUCCAUUUAGCUGUCUGAAAUGAUUUCACAGCUCAGGCAGGAAGGCUGACAGUGUAAACAGAAUAUUCACAAAUAAGUUCUGUAGAAUCCAGUGUGGAAAUCGAAGAAGCUAGGAGAAUGGCCUUAUGACAACUGUGGAAUUUGAGUCAAAAAUAAAAGUACUGCUGGUGAUUCCCCAUUGACUCAGGGAGUGGCUGCCCAGCCCUGGAAGUUAUUCCUCUGUGUUCUGUUUUUAGAGGUUUCUAGCUCUGUUCUUAAAAAGAAAACACUGAAUGCCUCCAUCAGGGCAUUUAGUCCAUUUUUAGAAAAAGAUGCAAAGAGCAUAACUCCAUAAUCUCUCUUACCACUCACUUCUUAAUGGCCACUUUUACCUAUGGGAAAAAGCACAGGUCCAUGGAUUCUUGAGUUUGUGGUCUCAACUCAUGCUUUCAGACCCCUUAAAGCAAAAGAGGACUCACUCAUAUUUGGGACCCAUGUUGCUUGUUCUGUAGGCAAACUAAUCCCCAGAGUCUGCUGAUAACACAUUCCCUUUAUGAUUUCCUAUGAAAUCAUCCUGUCUGCCUGGAGUGACUGACUCAUCUAGUCCUAUCAAGAUGUAAACCCAUUGGGAACAACAUCAUCCUAGCUGAGGAGGCAUGACAGCACACAUGUACAAAGGCAGGUGCAACUGAGGGAGUCACCGGCCCUGAGGGUAAUUGUAGUGUCCUAUAAUCAAUUGAUCAUUGCCCACCAUUGCCUUACAGUGGGCAGGAGCAGGGAAGAUGGAAUGCUGGUAAAAUUAUUAUUAGGGUGAGGUGUUGCAUCAGUAUAGACAUAAUAAAAUGCUUCCUUUGUGAAAGGGUGUAAACCACAGGUGCAAAGUCCAUAGGCACUGAAAAGUGGCAGGGCUGGCUCAGCAAGAUAAGGGAGUGGGAAGAACCCAAAGAUUGUAUUUAAUCGCUUCCUAUUUCCCUUUCUCCCUAGACAUACAGCCCCUUCUUAACUACCCUACUCCCUUUAUCUUCAAGGUUGUCUCUUUCACGUUCUAUUGGAUAGACCUUGGACAAUGUGCCAUGAAGUUUCUCCUUUUAUACCUUUAGUUGACUCUUGCUUUCCCUACAUUCUGCUAGGAAAAUAUUACAGUAUAUUACACUUAAAGUGCUCAAGUUCAGUCUGUUAACAAUGAACCAUGUCAUGAGGGAAUCAGCUGAAUGGACCUCAGAGUUAAACAGGCCUGGCUUCUGUAAUUCACCUUGUAUUUUCCAUGUGACUUUAGAUAAAUUAUUUUUAAACUAUUUGAGUUUCAAUGUAUCUUUAAAAUAUAAAUAAUAACCAUUUAUAACUCAUGGGGUCAUUUUGAAAAUUAAAUGAGAUAAAAUAUGUACAGGGGGUACUAUUCAAAAAUGUUUGUUUCCUUUUUUGGCUUUCCAAUUCACUAUCGAUGCUCCCCAAAUUUUAUCAUCAGCAGUAUUACUUCUCUGAAGUACCUGAUGGAAAAUUUGAACAUAGAAGACAUCAAAACUAUGCGAAUUUCCAGGGAAAAUUCCUUUCUGAGAGGUUUCCUUUCAGAGGUUUAUAUGUGUUAGUAUAAGUGUGUGUUAAGUAGUGUGUCGUAGGUAUAGCAUUUCAUCAUGUGUAUGUGUAUCUUCUGAUUAGGCUGCCACUUUUUCAUCCUGAUCAUUGUCCCAGGAAGCCAACUCUUUUAUACUUGAUCACAUAGCUCCUGUGCCUUCUGCUUUUGGUGAAAUUUGACAGCUGGUGAACCCUUGCAAGAAAUUCAGAGGUAUUCAUUCUCCUUAAUAGCUUGUGGAGAGUGGCACUGUUGACUAGGGCCACGCAAGCUCUCAUCCCCUCACUGCUUCCUGCUGAUAUAUAGAAAAGAGUGACCUCCCUGACAGAUACUUUAAGGCCAGCUCUGCAUGCCUUGGACAGUCACUCAUCCUUUCAAGGUAGAUGUCUCUGCAUGAUUCUCUUCCAGUUCUAAUGCUUGCUCCUUCCCCCUUGUCCUCCUGGGCCUAGGGAUGUUAACUGCUUGGAUGAAGCUCAGCAUUCCUUUACUACCCCUUGUGAUUCUCCUACAUGGAUACCUCUGUAAAUAGUCCCUUUGUAAAUAAACUGUCUUUGAAGUUUCCUAAAUGGGGUGUACCAUCUCUUUCACAUUGGGAUCCUGGUGUAUAUACCAGUAAACACAGUAGAAUUGAAGAACAGGACUAAUUCCUACGGUGGGAGUUAACAAGGUUUGUGUUCCAGACCUCCAAAAUUUAUAGAGUGUUCUCUAGGACAUAUUUUGACUUAAAGGGUCUCUGAAUAAUGAUCAUUAUUGUUUAAACCUUAAACCCCCUCAGUGAUAUUGCUUAAUGUUUAAUCAAUGUUGCUUGGGAAGCAGAAUCCAAAACCAGAGGGGAAAACAUGAGGGAAAUACACAGCAAGGAUACAGCUGUGUCUCAUGCAUUUCCAUGCAGAUAUUCAAAGAAAUUUGUUCAAAGAAAUUUGGAUUUUUCUUUACAAUUGUGCCACUAAUUAUGGUACAUUUCCCUUCAAUAUCUCUGAACUCUGGUGUACAGAGUUCCUCCAAACGUCUUCUGCUUGAUAUUAGAAAAGCUCCACUUCAGACUCUUCAGAAGCUAAACAUACUGUUAAGGCACUAUUUGCUAAUUAUGUAAGUUCUCUUUUUUGUUGCAUCUCUUUCCUUUAGAUUUGGUUUUGGAGAGAUUUGGCGAAGCAACAUGAGAUAGAAGAAGAAACUUUUUGAGCCUGGGAUGAUGGUGGCAUUGAUGUAAGGUCAUACUUUCCCCAGACUUGGGCUUGGUCAGUGAUAGCAAGAUGCGGAGUCUCUUUUUAGGCCCAAACUUAAAAACCUAGACUUCAGACAGAACUUAUUUUUUAUAUGAAAAUAGAAUCCAAAAAAUAAAGAUAUAUUGGGUCAAAGAAGAGUUCUUAUUUUUAACUUUUUCCCUUUAUCAAAAGACUAUGGCUAGGCGGUGUUGAAAAUACCAAUUUAUGCUCUUCUCAGGGCUCAAAAACUUUAUUUUAAUUGGAACUUUAAAUAACUUUUUAACUCACAUUAUUCAUUUGAAAGCAAUUGUUUCAAGAGAUUGAGUACAAUUCCCAGGCAAUCUUCUCAUCUGUUAAUGUAAUAAUAAACUUAAAUCAGAGCAUAUUUCACAGAGAACUGGCAAUAUUUUACAUUUUUGACUUUUGGCUGGUGUUGCAUUAACCUAUAGUGAAAGAAGUGUUUCAACUCACUAAACAUUGCAUGUGCAGAGCAAAGAAGUGCAGUUAAAGUGCAUUUGUAAAAACAGAAGUAUAGGAUUAGCAAUUGUCCUGUGUGACAAAUGUCGACU
rnacentral:lncRNA from 1 species